UACGUAGGCAGCGAGCGUUGUUCGGAAUUACUGGGCGUAAAGAGUGUGUAGGCGGUGUUCCCAGUCUGUUGUGAAAUCUCCCGGCUUAACUGGGAGGGUGCAGCGGAAACUAGAAUGCUAGAGGGUGGGAGAGGUAAGCGGAAUUCCUGGUGUAGCGGUGAAAUGCGUAGAUAUCCGGAGGAAUACCAAAGGCGAAGGCAGUGUCCUGGCUGGCAUCUGACGCUGAGGCGCGAAAGCUAGGGGAGCGAACAGG
rnacentral:rRNA from 1 species